rnacentral:rRNA from 1 species
GAAGGUCACGGCGAGACGAGCCGUUUAUCAUUACGAUAGGUGUCAAGUGGAAGUGCAGUGAUGUAUGCAGCUGAGGCAUCCUAACAGACCAUAUAGACUUGAAC